GUCUUCAGACGGCACUCGCCCCGCAUCUGGGUGCAGGGCGCGGGGUCCUCGGCGCCCAUCGUCGCCGCCGGAAGCAGCACCAGCAGGAUGCCCCAGGGGAACCAGCGCAGCUUCUGAAGCCCGAGUUGAACAUUUGUAUUAUUUCUAAAUGGUCGCUUUCUAAUGCUAUUUCACGGAAUGGUUCGCGCUGGUCCUUGGAAUCGUGAAUGUCUUCCAUGACGAAGCCAGGACGUUGGCGGUAACGGAGACAAAGGGACAGACCGGCCUCGGAGAACAAGACCAAGGCGACACGAAGUUACUGAACGAAAAUAUUAAUCAGCGUCGUUCACAGCAGCACUUACCUGAUCGUUGGCCAUCGUGCGGGAGGAGCGAAGAGGAGGAGGAGAGCGAAGAUGGAAGCCAGGAAAGCGACUGGCCGGUCCCCAUCCUGGCCAGCGAACACUUUCUCG